CUUACAAACACACAGCUUUUCUCUUCACAAGAUGUUAACUGAUGGACCGGAGUGCUGUGGAUUAUUGUGAUGUUUUUAUCAGCUGUUUGGACUCUCGUUCUGACGGCACCCAUUCACUGCAGGAAGGAUCCACUGGUGAGCAAGUGAUGUAAUGCUACAUUUCUCCAAAUCUGUUCAGAUGAAGAAAACUCAUCUACAUCUUGGAUUGACUGAAAUGUUCAGUAAAUUUUCAUUUUUUCCUUGAACACCACUCCCGAUGCUCGUGCUGGUACACCCCUUGUUUUUAUAAAAUAAUAGAUUCAAUACAUAUACAUAUUUUAAAUGUAUUUUAAUAUUAUAGAAAUGUAUUUUAAUUUCAACCAGAGCUAAUGUUGAGAAGCUAACAAUAUGUCCCUGCUUUAUACUGUAAAAAAGCACUGCACAAAAUGACUAAUACUGUGUACAAGAUAGCAUCAGCCUACUUCUAGCACGGAUCAUGACAAAAUCAUUUAUGUGUGUCAAUCACAUAUCGAUUCUUUUGAGUGUUUGUGUACUUAAAAUGCUAAAAGCCUAACAUUAAAAAUCUGUGUUAAACUCUUAUUGUAUGUUAAAUUUGUAUUGUAUUGUAUGAUUAACAUAAUUUCCAUCAAUUAUUUGACACCCAAAGUCUGGAUUAACCAACGCUUUUCUUGUUUUACUUGUAUUUUUACAUUUGGACUAUGAUGAAGCAAACCACUGUGUUUCCAAAGCUUAUGUUAUUAAUGUUUCGGACAAUAAAGUUGUUAGUCUGUAA